ensembl:lncRNA
GGGCCAGGGGGUGCGCGGGGCGAGCGGCCCGGCCCUGAAUCUCUGCCCCAAUACGGUUCUCAUAGAGACGCGCAGUAGUUACCCAAAGCCGUAACUGUCUCUGAAAUUAUUCAUUAAAGUCAUUCUCGGCGAUCUCACGGCGCCCGCGCUUACAUGUACGACCUUUGCACCGGCAGGGCGUGCCAUCGCCCUCGCCCCGGCGGUGUGCUCCCAAUAGCUGGGGAGGGGGCGGAGGGGGGGGACUCGGGGGUGCUGCCUCUCGCCCCGCUCGCGAUGUUCGGCUGCUCGGGGCUCGGCCGAUUUCCCCCUUUUGGAGGAGGCGCGCGGUGCAGCCCGGCAGACACCCUGGGAGCGAGGAGGGUAUUUUGGGGAGUUGCAGUGUUGUGCGGAAGAUCAUGUCUGUGCCCUGUGGUGCUGUCAGCAGUGACAGAUCCCAGACGCGGCCGCUACUGUAUGGCAGAUUGAGUUUCUCAGCAGAAAACUCUCCCUCCCUCCCUCCCUCCUGAACGUCUUCAAAAACCUUCUCCAGAUACUGCGGGUCACUUCGGCUCCAGCGGAGAGAGAAAAGGGGAAAAAGCCUUCCCGGUCUCCCACCUUCCCUUCCUCCCGCCGGCUCUUCCUGGGGCGCGGGGGGGCCGUGCCCUACCCUCCCCCCUCUCCCCCCCCUCGGGGGUUCUCUCGGCUCCCCGAUCGCCUCCAGUGCGCUCAGAGCCCGCAGCGGGACGUCUUCUUCAGGCCCACAUCUGGACUGAGGAGCGGAGAUGAUGGAGAGCGAGGAAUCGGCUGCAAGCAGCCUGCUUCACAGGCACUCCUGGAUGGGUCACCCCAUGCCUGCGAGCAAUGGGUCAGGGCAGUGCUGUCAAUAACAUGGUGUUGUAUGUAAAGCUGGGAGCACAGAGUCCCACACCGUUGUAUGUGCUCAGCAAAGCUCCCAUUUGCCUCCAGGAGAAUUCUGCCUAUGUAAGGACUUAAGAGCCAUUGCUAGGAGCUAAGAAAAGAGCAUUAUUAAUUCACUUCAUCGCUGGCUCAGUGAAAGCCAACAGCUUUCUGCAGUCUUGCCAAAAUGAAGAGGAGAUGGUCUGAGGUACAUGCAGGGUGAUUUUCAUACCGAAGGUGAGAAAGGAGAAAUCGUUUUAAGGUACGGUAACUUGCCGUACAAACGUGAUCUGUGUUCCCUCCCAGCUUUGAAAGGAGACUUUAUAAACUCUGUGGCCUUUGAUUUGUUAAGGCAACCUUAUACUUAUUUUUUUUAAUUCCCAAGUUUGUGAGAAAAUAGAAAGGAACCCUUGAUGUUCUUAUGCUCUCGAUUAUCACUUCAUUGUAGAAGUAUUUGCUUAAUGAAACAUACAGCAAAUAUUGCACUGUAAAACCUGUUGCAAUGUACUCAAUAUCUUUUGGAAUUAAUAGAAAAAAAAAUACAAGACUGCAGAAAAGGCACUAAUUUUUAUUUUAUCUAAUAAAAAUGUUACUUGACUGCAAAGCACUUUGCUUUAUUUUCUCACUUAUAUUGUAUAUAUUUGAAGAGAAAUGUCUGCUGCACGUCAUCUAUCUAACACAAAAAACUGAUGCUGUUAUUAAUAAGUUACAGAGAAAAAUAAACCAGUUUGCACUUUGAUUUUUAUCAUUCCUAGUGAGCGAUUCCUUUGGAAUAAACAUAACUCUAACACAUGUAAACAACACAGGAAAUUAAUAACAAAAUUCUUUGGAUUUAUUUCAGAUGCCACAUACUUUAUGUAAAUAUAUGCGGCUUUCAAUUUCAAUGAUUUUCCACAGAUUUCUCAGGUGUUCUCCAGAAAGCUUCGUCUGAUGCAACUCUGCUUCCUCCUUCUCUUCAUUGAACUGCGGCCACAAUCAGUUUCCCGCAGCACUCACACCUUAAGACACAUGGUUCUUGCAUAUGAGCAAUCUCAGACACAGACUCAGCAAACAUUAUAACAUUCAUUACCCAGCACAAAGCUUUCUUGCAUCUGUCUUCAACUGGCAUUUCUGCAUAAGGCAAAAUGAAAUAAAUCACUCGGCAGUCCUCAAAGCACGAGCCCAGCAGGAACACAUAGGCAUCUCAUGGACCCUUAGCCUGGCACUGGGAAGGGAGAGAUGGAGACCAAUUAUGGGACCACUGGUCUGUCUUCAGAGCAAAUGUUCCCGGUCCAUCCCAGGGGCUAUUUCAACAGCAGUGCCUCUGGUUUGGCUUGGUUUACUUUGAGAUGGAGCAGGAGCAUCCCAGCCAGAUGAGAAGGUGGCUGUAGAGGGAAGAAGUUGCCUGUGCAUCCGGCAGUAGGAGCUGUGAGCGGGACAAAACUAUCCCCAUGCUCUUCCCAGCUGCACAGAGGAAGCAUUUUAAAGCAU